rnacentral:rRNA from 1 species
GACGAACGCUGGCGGCGUGCUUAACACAUGCAAGUCGAGCGGUAAGGCCCUUUCGGGGGUACACGAGCGGCGAACGGGUGAGUAACACGUGGGUGACCUGCCCUCAGCUCUGGGAGUAAGCCUGGGAAACCGGGUCUAAUACUGGAUAUGACUCCAUGACGCAUGUUGUGGGGUGGAAAGCCUUGUGCGGCUGAGGAUGGGCCCGCGGCCUAUCAGCUUGUUGGUGGGGUGAGGCCUACCAAGGCGACGACGGGUAGCCGGCCUGAGAGGGCGACCGGCCACACUGGGACUGAGACACGGCCCAGACUCCUACGGGAGGCAGCAGUGGGGAAUCUUGCGCAAUGGGCGAAAGCCU